GACGAACGCUGGCGGCGUGCUUAACACAUGCAAGUCGAACGGAAAGGCGCUGCUCUUGUUGGGUGCUCGAGUGGCGAACGGGUGAGUAACACGUGAGUAACCUGCCCUUGACUUUGGGAUAACUCCAGGAAACUGGGGCGCAUACCGGGUAGAAGCUCCUGCUGCAUGUGGGGGGUUGGAAAGUUUCGGCGGUUGGGGCUGGUCUCGCGGGUUAUCAGCUUGUUGGUGGGGUAGGUGCUUACCAAGGCUUUGACGGGUAGCCGGCCUGAGAGGGUGACCGGGGACAUUGGGACUGAGAUACGGCCCAGACGCCUACGGGAGGCAGCAGGGGGGAAUAUUGCACAAUGGGCGGAAGCCUGAUGCAGCAACGCCGCGUGCGGGAUAACGGCCUUCGGGUGGUAAACCGCUUUCGCAGGUGACGAAGAGGGAGUGACGGUAAUGGGUAAAGAAGCACCGGCUAACUACGUG
rnacentral:rRNA from 1 species